GAUGAACGCUAGCUACAGGCUUAACACAUGCAAGUCGAGGGGCAGCACGGAGAUAGCUUGCUAUCUUGGGUGGCGACCGGCGCACGGGUGAGUAGCGCGUAUCCAACCUGCCCAUUACUCUGGGAUAGCCUUGCGAAAGUAAGAUUAAUACCGGAUGUUGUUAAAAACCCGCAUGAGUUUUUAACCAAAGAUUUAUUGGUAAUGGAUGGGGAUGCGUGACAUUAGGUAGUUGGUGAGGUAACGGCUCACCAAGCCGACGAUGUCUAGGGGGUCUGAGAGGAAGGUCCCCCACACUGGAACUGAGACACGGUCCAGACUCCUACGGGAGGCAGCAGUGAGGAAUAUUGGUCAAUGGACGAGAGUCUGAACCAGCCAAGUAGCGUGCAGGAUGACGGCCCUCUGGGUUGUAAACUGCUUUUAGUUGGGAAUAAAAGGAGGGACGUGUCCCUAAUUGUAUGUACCAUCAGAAAAAGGACCGGCUAAUUCCGUGCCAGCAGCCGCCUAACAC
rnacentral:rRNA from 1 species